rnacentral:rRNA from 1 species
UACGGGGGGUGCGAGCGUUGUCCGGAAUCAUUGGGCGUAAAGCGCGCGUAGGCGGCCCGGUAAGUCCGCUGUGAAAGUCAAAGGCUCAACCUUUGAAUGUCAGCGGAUACUGCCGGGCUAGAGUCCGGAAGAGGCGAGUGGAACUCCUGGUGUAGCGGUGGAAUGCGCAGAUAUCAGGAAGAACACCAACGGCGAAGGCAGCUCGCUGGGACGGAACUGACGCUAAGGCGCGAAAGCGUGGGGAGCGAACAGG